UGGGGAAUUUUGGACAAUGGGCGAAAGCCUGAUCCAGCAAUGCCGCGUGUGUGAAGAAGGCCUUCGGGUUGUAAAGCACUUUUGUCCGGAAAGAAAUCCUUGGCUCUAAUACAGUCGGGGGAUGACGGUACCGGAAGAAUAAGCACCGGCUAACUACGUGCCAGCAGCCGCGGUAAUACGUAGGGUGCAAGCGUUAAUCGGAAUUACUGGGCGUAAAGCGUGCGCAGGCGGUUUGCUAAGACCGAUGUGAAAUCCCCGGGCUCAACCUGGGAACUGCAUUGGUGACUGGCAGGCUAGAGUAUGGCAGAGGGGGGUAGAAUUCCACGUGUAGCAGUGAAAUGCGUAGAGAUGUGGAGGAAUACCGAUGGCGAAGGCAGCCCCCUGGGCCAAUACUGACGCUCAUGCACGAAAGCGUGGGGAGCAAACAGGAUUAGAUACCCUGGUAGUCCACGCCCUAAACGAUGUCAACUAGUUGUUGGGGAUUCAUUCUUAGUAACGUAGCUAACGCGUGAAGUUGACCGCCUGGGGAGUACGGUCGCAAGAUU
rnacentral:rRNA from 1 species